CCAUGGGACAGUGUGGACAUGCUGGGUGACAGUGGUGGAGGUGGUGGUGUUGCUGCCACAUCCUCUGUUUGUGGGGUGGCAGGUGCCACUGUCACUCCAGAGGGAAAGGAAGACGCCGAGACCGCAGCAGACAAAGGAUCAUGAGCAGCCUAAGAUAUGUUGCGGUUUCUCA